CCGCUUUUAGCUCAGUGGUCGAGCGUUGGCUUUGGAAGCCACAGGUCGGGGGUUCGAACCCGCCAGGGCACA
rnacentral:tRNA from 1 species